GCAACUUUCCUCAUAACAAAUAGUGUCAUGAAGAAUGUUGUAGUGUGAAGUUUGUACAUUUCAGGGUCAGAUAUACAAUAUGAACUCUUAAUCUACAGGAAUGAGAAUGGAGGAUCAUUGAAGGCCAUGAUAUAAACAAAUUUGCAUGUUGAAGCCUGUAUAAAACAUGGUACAGUGAGUGAAUAUACCCCCAUCCCCAAGAACACUUUAUACAUAUUAAAUGGAUAUAUGAUUACUGUGCAAAAAUUCAUUCUGGAAAUGAACAUAUAUUUGAGCACUAAUAUGUAAUGUACACCUGCCCUAAGGAGAAAAUAAAUUAUAAAACUUUUUACAUUCAAAAUUACUUUCCCAAGCAUGUCUUAGAAUAAUCUAUGUGUUGAUGCAUGUAAAUUGUACUUUAGGUAGGCAAAGAAAUCUGGUUAUUUAUGUAAAAACUAGUCUAAUAAAGUUAGUUAGUGGCUUUAUCACUUUAAAUCUUUAGUGUCCAAAAGUGGUGUUUAAAGUAAUAGCACAUCAUUCUAAUUUUGCUCAGUUGUUAUUAAGAGCAUAUUCCUAAACCAUACACUUUUGUUUCAAUAAAGUUUUAUUUUGUUGAGAUGAAUAAAAUAACAAAGUUA
rnacentral:lncRNA from 1 species